CGGGGACCGGCUCAAGCCAAAAAAAGGAAGCCUGAUUCCCACCACCCACCACACUCAGCAGCCUCAGAAAAAUAAAAUCUCCACCCAAGCCCCUGCUGAGACUCCCGUCAACUCCCCCCAGCCGCAGAGCGCUCCGACGGCACGGCACGGGGACCUGCUCCCUUCCAGUUGCACCAGCCAUCCUGAUCCCCAGGUCUCCAGAGGCAACACCGUCUUUUCCAGACCGAAGCACACAGAACUCUGCACAGGCCUCCGGGUCCCUGUGUCCCAGCGACGGGCCUUCAGCCUCCCUGGGUCAGGGUGGGCCAGGCCAGGCCACUCAUUCACGGACCAGCAACAGGACACACUGGUGCGAGGUGGA